rnacentral:rRNA from 1 species
UACGUAGGGGGCAAGCGUUGUCCGGAAUCAUUGGGCGGAAAGAGCGUGUAGGCGGCCAGGUAGGUCUGCUGUGAAAACUCGAGGCUCAACCUCGAGACGUCGGCGGAAACCAUCUGGCUAGAGUCCGGAAGAGGAGAGUGGAAUUCCUGGUGUAGCGGUGAAAUGCGCAGAUAUCAGGAAGAACACCCGUGGCGAAGGCGGCUCUCUGGGACGGUACUGACGCUGAGACGCGAAAGCGUGGGGAGCGAACAGG